UAAAUGUUCAAUACUAAAUUUUUAUAAAACUUAAUAUUUAGGCUCUUUAAUUUAAAUUCUAGCUAUUUACAGUAUUUUCCUCAAUGUUUAUAUUAAAAUAACAUUGUAAUGUAUCUUGAUCGAUCAUGGAUUCGGAACGUUCUAGAAAUUUGACAUAUUCUGAGUGAAACGAAACACACAGGUGACGUUCAGAAACUUGCUUGUUUGUUAUUUUUUUUCUUUCUAAAGUUUAAUUAUUUAAUUAAAUUUAAAUGAGAGAAGCAGUAUUGUGAGUUCCCAUAUCGAAAUUAUUCAAUAAGAGGCUAGUUAACACAAGUGGCAUUUAUUGAAAGUAAAGAAAAAAAUUAUACAAAACUGCUAGAUAUUGUGAUUUGUUGGAGUGACAAGUUUUCGAACGAACAUCUGAGUCACGGGUGAUGACCGGCGCUUUUUGGAGGGUCGAAGUCUUUUGCUUGGUUGGGGUGAUCGCGAACGGAAGUUCUGUUGUACGUGGUGUGAUAGUGUCCCGAAUUCCAAGAGGUCUGAACCGUGCCGUUCCCUGAUAAACGGGCAGGGCACGCAUCGCCAUCCUCUACGUUAAAAGGGAAUUUUAGAAUAAAUCCGAAAGCCCCGUGAUUUUGUGGACUCAUUGCCACGUGCUGAGUUCUGUUACUGAAGAUUUUGGUUGGACAGUGCUCGGUGGCGAGCUCUGCGCUGUGUCCUGCUUUAGCGGCUGUCGCCGGAUUUUUCCUCCGUUGAAGGUGACGAUGGUGCCUGAGAGUCGUUCCCCGACCAUGACUGGCCGAUAUGUACACUACCGAGGCCGUCCACCACGGUCCAGGGCUACCCUACUUCAUAGGUUGGUUCCGUUUUCUAUUGAGCUUGUCAAUUAUUUUAGUUUACUUUGAAAAAGUAGAUUACCCACAUAACGAUUACAUUUUACCAAAAAGUAAAUUCCUAAAUAAAUUUACCAUUGUGAUGUAUUAUCGAUGGAUUUUGUUGUGUUAACUAUUUUUAGUUCGCUUUAUGAAGGUAAAUGAUGUGAUAAUUACAAUGAUUACAUUUUACCAAAAGGUAAAUUCCUAAAUAAGUUUACCAUUGUGAUGUAUUAUCGAUGGAUUCUGUUGUGUUAACUAUUUUUAGUCCACUUUGUGAAGAUAGAUGAUAUAAUAAUUACGAUGAUUACAUUUUACCAAAAUGUUACCUUCUAAAUAGGUUUACCAUUGUAAUGAAUUACCGUUGGAUUUUGCUGUGUUCACAUUUGCUCCAUCCUCGAGAGCGAUGGAUUAUUGUUUUUAAAUUGUUUUUAAUAUUAUGUAUUGUGCUGUUGUAUAAUAUAAUUUUUUAUUGUACAAUAGGAGGUGUAUGGUACCGGCCGUUUUGUACGGCACUGGCCAUAAAGGUGUUUGGCACCGGCUGUCCCGCAGUGCCAGACGCUUGCUGCGCCCGACGGGUGCGGAGGGGGUUGAGCCGAGUGGUGGCGACUAGCGCGCUAGUAAUCUUAAGUAUUUUUAAUCAGUACCAACCAAACGGCCCAACGACCCAUCCCUUAAUUUUUCUUUUAAAUAUUUGUGUCUAACCCACAAUUAAAUUGUUGUCAAUUUAAA